UCCGCCAUGCCCCGCAGGUGCCGGGGCUCCGCGCGCGGUUGCUAUGGGGACCGGCGGCGUCCGGGGCUGGAGGCUGUGGCUGCGUUGGGGUGCUGUUUGUGGUGGAGGCUUACUCGGGCAGGCAGCUUCUGGAUCCGAGUGUCGGCCAGCUGAGCGCACACAGCGUGAGCCUGGGUUCCUCCUACCAGAGUGUUCUUCCUGUACACUGCUUUGCAGAGGAAUGCGAACUUCAAAGAAUAAAAAUACAGAAGAGCCAGAACCUUUCUACAGGCUUUCAGUGCCGAAGCAGAAGACCAGUUCUGAGAUUAUAAAUGAAGCCAGAAAUGAUCUACGAACACUAAGAACUCAGAGGCCAUUUACACCUACAGAGAAUCAAAGGAAACUUUUUGGAUCUGGAUCCUCACUAGCUCCUCAAAAUAGACCUCCUUCGGUUUUUAGUAUUCAUGCUUCCAGUUUUGAUUUGGCGGAAUCAAGACCGGUUUCUGGUGUUCGUCUUAGCCCACUGGAUUAUAAGCCAGUACUAGUCACUUGUGCAAAAGAUGAAGAUCCUUCCAUAUCCCUUCCAAAGCCUGCUAUGGAUGCUGCGGAGGUUAGAAAAAUCAGCAGUGCUCGGGCACACUUAUUUAGAAGAACUUCUCAGGGAAAUGUCUUUCCUGCUAAAAUGGUUCCUCCUGAUCAGAAUGAAGAGAAACUACAUUCUGAAGAACCUGCUAGGAUGAGUAAUCUUUGCAGAAGUAGUGAUAUCUGCUUAACAGAGCAAAGGGCAUACACACCAUUUAAUGAUGAAAGUGGACAAUUAAUUUGUAAUGAGCAUAGCGGCAAAUUGGAGAGGGAAGAUGUCCUAAAAGGCACAGCAGGAAACUUCUUAUUUCAGCUAAAAGGUGAAAGAAGUGUCACCGGUGAUGGCAGAUUUGCUGAUGAAGAGCAACCGUUUCCCUGUGACCAGCUGAGAAAGCCUGGUGUAGGUUCAUUGUGGCCAAGAAGUGCAGGGUGGAAGAGAAGACUAACAGGCUUAGAGGAUGACACAAGAAUAAAUGAAUCAGAAGAGGAAAAAAUCUUUUGGCAUAUGAAAGUUCUACCAAUUCUACAGGAACUGAAAAGCGUAGAAGACAAUGUAGAAAAUCUUUGUCUGGCUUGCACCAAACUCUAUCAAGCCUUGAAUGAACGAGAUAUGUUUGGGAAAAGAUUUAAAAGAAGAAGUGUGCUUCUGAAGACGUUAUAUAAACUUGUAGACAUUGAUUCAGAUCCACUUUGCCUGAAGCUGGCAAAGAUUAUUCUCUCUAUGAAAGUGGAUGGAAAAAAUCUUCUCAAUGUCUGCAAGCUUGCAUUUAAAAUUUGCAAGAAUGAAAAAAAUGAUUAUAUCAUUCAAAAUGAUAAGUUAUUGGAUUGUUUAUUGGAGGUCCUGACAACUGAAGAUCUACAAAAAAACAAUGAAGCUCUCCUGUAUUGCAUGGGAGCUAUAAAAUUCAUGUCUGGAAAUGCAGUACUCCUUAAUGAAAUGGUCAGCAAAGGAGCUGUUGAAAUGUUGCUGCAAUUAAUGAAGCAAAUUAAUAACAUAAAAGAAAAUGACGCAUAUUUCUCCAACUUGGGCCACCUAUUAGUCCAGCUGACAGCUACUUUGCGAAACUUGGCUGAUUUACCUCAGGCAAGAUGCCAACUCAUUUGCAGUGGUGCAGUCUCUGAGCUCUGUGUGGCGCUAGAGCAACGUAUGAACGAUAAGGAUGUGUGCACCUACAUAGUCAGGAUUUUCAGCAAACUUUCUUCCUAUGAUGACUUCUGUGCAGCUUUAGCAGACUGCCCCAGAUGUUACAUCUUAUUUUUAGCCCUACUAAGCAAACACCAGAAGCAGCAGGAUUUGGUUAUCCGUAUCAUCUUCAUUCUUGGUAAUUUAACAGCAGAGAAUAACCAGGCCCGUGAGCAACUUUUUAAAGAAAAAGGAAGUCUUAACACCUUGAUAUCAUUAUUUCAAACCUACCAUGAACUUGACUUGAAUGCGGAGAAAUGGUGCCAUAUAAGAGGAAGGGAAGAAGAAAAACAAACAAAACAUCCUUCAGAAGCAGAAAAUGUUCUGAUAAAACUGAUAAGAGUGCUGGCCAAUCUCUCCAUUCACCCCAGUGUAGGAGCAGCUUUGGCAGCUGCCCAUCGUGUUGUAGAAUUACUUGUUACAGUACUAGAAUAUAAGUCAAUUGACGUCUGUGAGGAGUUGGUCAUCAAUGCUGCAACAACAAUCAACAAUUUAUCCUUCUACAAAGUGAAGGGUUCUGCUGUUCAAGACAAGAAGCUACACAUUGCUGAAAGCAAGGUAUGGGAAGAAGCAGAGGCUGAAGUUCGCAAAACUGGCAGAAUAGAGUAGGAGAAAAUAUUAUGGCUUUCAACCUAGUGCCCUGACUGCUAGACAUCAUUCCCUAUCUAGGUAACUGUUCUGAUGUUCUGUCAUGAGUCAUUUUAUCCUCCAUAAGCCAGCUGUCUGUUAGUGGUAGUUGGAGAAAUGUGGAACCAAAUGUCUUUUCUUUCAGUCCCAUUCGCUCUCCCUCUCCCAUUUUUAUUGCUAGUGUGUGGAACCAGUCCCAUCACCUUUUCUCCAUCUGAAAUGAGCAGAGAUGAAACCUUCAGGAGACAUUUUGAGAAUACUUGUUGAUCCAAGUGGGUGGAUCCCAAAGACAAAAAACAGUCAUUUCUGUUGUCUCUUUAAGACAAGUUCAAGGCAUGUUCACUAUUGCAACAUUCAAAGAAGGAAGUAAUGAGAAUGAAGCCAACCUCUUUUCUCUUUUUGAUUCUCUUACUUCUCUGUGGUGGAAGGGUUAAGGGUUCACUGAUUUGCGUCCUUCAUCUGAUGCACCGAUUUCAGUGAUUCACUUCUUCCUCACAGAAGACUGCUGAAUGUAAAAUGUGAAAUUGCUUCUUGUUACUGUACCUUGCUUCUUGUUUCAUGAUGGUAGCUCUUCCUAGGAAACACAAAAGGUCUCAUUCUGUCUGCUGAAGGUGCAUGCUAAUCAUAUGUGAAACUGCUAAGCAGGAAACCAGCAAGCAAGUAAACGCUUCAGACCAAGGGGCAAUAUUAAGUAGCUGUUCAGAGAAAAUGUAUUUGCUUGUUGUAGCAGCACUGAGAGAAAACAGAGCUAAUGUCAGAAAAUAAUUUUAGUUUAAAGAGACGUCCCACCAUAAGACCAUCUGUUCAGGAUCUAAAUCAAUUCUCUUUGAUAUUGCAACAUUUUUUUGUUCUGUCUUCCUGGAUUUUCACAUAAGCCCACUCAAAACUGUAUAGCAAAACUGGUUCCCAUUAUUGCAACUGUGCUUAGGCUAUCUUCAUAACUCCUCAUCUGUUCCUUUGCAUUUAGCCCCAUAUUGGAGCUCUUUGUCUCAUCUUCAAAGCCCUACACAAUUUAGUGCUUGUUCUACCAUCUGCUCAUCCCCUUCACUGCAACCAGACAGUUAGAUAAAUGUUCCCGUGCAUUAUAUUUAUUGCUGUUGCUGCUUGCAUUCUGAUAUCUACUGAUAAAAAGCCAAGCACAUUUGUGAUAUACAAGUAAUUGUUUUUAUUUCAUUUCCCUGCAAAUCAAUAGUGCUUUUAAAGCUGUUAAUGAGCAACAGUAUGGAUGGAGUUGUGGAGGCUGUCAGAGUCUUUGGCAAUCUUUCCCAGUAUCAUGAGAUCUGUGACUUCAUCGUACAGAAAAAGAUAUACAAGUUUGUGAUUGCCUUACUUGAUGCCAAGAAUCAAGAUGUCUGUUUUUCUGCCUGUGGAGUUCUGCUCAAUCUCACAGUGGAUAAGGACAAACGAG